AACGAACGCUGGCGGCAUGCCUAACACAUGCAAGUCGAACGAGACCUUCGGGUCUAGUGGCGCACGGGUGCGUAACGCGUGGGAACCUGCCUUUAGGGUCGGAAUAACUCAGAGAAAUUUGAGCUAAUACCGGAUGAUGUCCUCGGACCAAAGAUUUAUCGUCUUUAGAUGGGCCCGCGUUGGAUUAGCUAGUUGGUGGGGUAAAGGCCUACCAAGGCGACGAUCCAUAGCUGGUCUGAGAGGAUGAUCAGCCACACUGGGACUGAGACACGGCCCAGACUCGUACGGGAGGCAGCAGUGGGGAAUAUUGGACAAUGGGCGAAAGCCUGAUCCAGCACUGCCGCGUGAGUGAUGAAGGCCUUAGGGUUGUAAAGCUCUUUUACCCGAGAUGAUAAUGACAGUAUCGGGAGAAUAAGCGCCGGCUAACUCCGUG
rnacentral:rRNA from 1 species